rnacentral:rRNA from 1 species
UACGAGAGGCCCAAACGUUAUUCGGAUUUACUGGGCUUAAAGAGUUCGUAGGCGGUCCAUCAAGUGGGGUGUGAAAUCCCUCGGCUCAACCGAGGAAUUGCGCUCCAAACUGUUGGGCUCGAGGGAGAUAGAGGUGAGCGGAACUGAUGGUGGAGCGGUGAAAUGCGCAGAUAUCAGGAGGAACACCGGUGGCGAAGGCGGUUCUCUGGGCCUUACCUGACGCUGAGGAGCGAAAGCGUGGGGAGCAAACAGG